ACUCCUACGGGAGGCAGCAGUGGGAAUAUUGGGACAAUGGGGGAACCCUGAUCCAGCCAUGCCGCGUGUGUGAAGAAGGCCUUCGGGUUGUAAAGCACUUUCAGUGGGGAGGAAAGGUUGUUGGUUAAUACCUAACAGCUGUGACGUUACCCACAGAAGAAGCACCGGCUAACUCCGUGCCAGCAGCCGCGGUAAUACGGAGGGUGCAAGCGUUAAUCGGAAUUACUGGGCGUAAAGCGUGCGCAGGCGGUCUGUUAAGCGAGA
rnacentral:rRNA from 1 species